rnacentral:rRNA from 1 species
UACGGAGGGGGCUAGCGUUGUUCGGAAUUACUGGGCGUAAAGCGCGCGUAGGCGGACCUGCAAGUCGGGGGUGAAAGCCCGAGGCUCAACCUCGGAACUGCCUUCGAUACUGCGGGUCUCGAGUCCGGGAGAGGUGAGUGGAAUUCCUAGUGUAGAGGUGAAAUGCGUAGAGAUCGGGAGGAACAUCCGUGGCGAAGGCGGCCAUCUGGAUCAACACUGACGCUGAGGCACGAAAGCGUGGGGAGCAAACAGG